AGAGUUUGAUCCUGGCUCAGGACGAACGCUGGCGGCGCGCCUAACACAUGCAAGUCGAACGAGCAAAGAGGAGCUUGCUUCUCUGAGCGAGUGGCGAACGGGUGAGUAACGCGUGAGGAACCUGCCUCAAAGAGGGGGACAACAGUUGGAAACGACUGCUAAUACCGCAUAAGCCCACAGGUCGGCAUCGACCAGAGGGAAAAGGAGCAAUCCGCUUUGAGAUGGCCUCGCGUCCGAUUAGCUAGUUGGUGAGGUAAUGGCCCACCAAGGCGACGAUCGGUAGCCGGACUGAGAGGUUGAACGGCCACAUUGGGACUGAGACACGGCCCAGACUCCUACGGGAGGCAGCAGUGGGGAAUAUUGCACAAUGGGGGAAACCCUGAUGCAGCGACGCCGCGUGGAGGAAGAAGGUCUUCGGAUUGUAAACUCCUGUUGUUGAGGAAGAUAAUGACGGUACUCAACAAGGAAGUGACGGCUAACUACGUGCCAGCAGCCGCGGUAAAACGUAGGUCACAAGCGUUGUCCGGAAUUACUGGGUGUAAGGGAGCGCAGGCGGGAAGACAAGUUGGAAGUGAAAUCCAUGGGCUCAACCCAUGAACUGCUUUCAAAACUGUUUUUCUUGAGUAGUGCAGAGGUAGGCGGAAUUCCCGGUGUAGCGGUGGAAUGCGUAGAUAUCGGGAGGAACACCAGUGGCGAAGGCGGCCUACUGGGCACCAACUGACGCUGAGGCUCGAAAGUGUGGGUAGCAAACAGGAUUAGAUACCCUGGUAGUCCACACCGUAAACGAUGAUUACUAGGCGUUGGAGGAUUGACCCCUUCAGUGCCGCAGUUAACACAAUAAGUAAUCCACCUGGGGAGUACGACCGCAAGGUUGAAACUCAAAGGAAUUGACGGGGGCCCGCACAAGCAGUGGAGUAUGUGGUUUAAUUCGACGCAACGCGAAGAACCUUACCAAGUCUUGACAUCCCUUGACGAUGCUGGAAACAGUGUUUCUCUUCGGAGCAAGGAGACAGGUGGUGCAUGGUUGUCGUCAGCUCGUGUCGUGAGAUGUUGGGUUAAGUCCCGCAACGAGCGCAACCCUUAUGGUCAGUUACUACGCAAGAGGACUCUGGCCAGACUGCCGUUGACAAAACGGAGGAAGGUGGGGAUGACGUCAAAUCAUCAUGCCCUUUAUGACUUGGGCUACACACGUACUACAAUGGCGUUAAACAAAGAGAAGCAAGACCGCGAGGUGGAGCAAAACUCAGAAACAACGUCCCAGUUCGGACCGCAGGCUGCAACUCGCCUGCACGAAGUCGGAA
rnacentral:rRNA from 1 species